GCGUAGGUGGCUUGAUAAGUCAGAUGUGAAAGCCCCGGGCUUAACCUGGGAACGGCAUCUGAUACUGUUAGGCUAGAGUAGGUGAGAGGAAGGUAGAAUUCCAGGUGUAGCGGUGAAAUGCGUAGAGAUCUGGAGGAAUACCGAUGGCGAAGGCAGCCUUCUGGCAUCAUACUGACACUGAGGUUCGAAAGCGUGGGUAGCAAACAGGAUUAGAUACCCUGGUAGUCCACGCCGUAAACGAUGUCUACUAGUCGUUGGGUCCCUUGAGGACUUAGUGACGCAGCUAACGCAAUAAGUAGACCGCCUGGGGAGUACGGCCGCAAGGUUAAAACUCAAAUGAAUUGACGGGGGCCCGCACAAGCGGUGGAGCAUGUGGUUUAAUUCGAUGCAACGCGAAGAACCUUACCUGGUCUUGACAUAUCUAGAAUCCUGCAGAGAUGCGGGAGUGCCUUCGGGAAUUAGAAUACAGGUGCUGCAUGGCUGUCGUCAGCUCGUGUCGUGAGAUGUUGGGUUAAGUCCCGCAACGAGCGCAACCCUUGUCCUUAGUUACCAGCGGUUUGGCCGGGAACUCUAAGGAUACUGCCAGUGACAAACUGGAGGAAGGCGGGGACGACGUCAAGUCAUCAUGGCCCUUACGACCAGGGCUACACACGUGCUACAAUGGUAGGUACAUAGGGCAGCUACACAGCGAUGUGAUGCGAAUCUCAAAAAGCCUAUCGUAGUCCAGAUUGGAGUCUGCAACUCGACUCCAUGAAGUAGGAAUCGCUA
rnacentral:rRNA from 1 species